GAAAUGCGAUAAGUAAUGUGAAUUGUAGAAUUCAGUGAAUCAUCGAAUCUUUGAACGCACAUUGCGCCCGCCAGUAUUCUGGCGGGCAUGCCUGUUCGAGCGUCAUUACAACCCUCAGGCCCCCGGGCCUGGCGUUGGGGAUCGGCGGAAGCCCCCUGCGGGCACAACGCCGUCCCCCAAAUACAGUGGCGGUCCCGCCGCAGCUUCCAUUGCGUAGUAGCUAACACCUCGCAACUGGAGAGCAGCGCGGCCACGCCGUAAAACACCCAACUUCUGAAUGUUGACCUCGAAUCAGGUAGGAAUACCCGCUGAACUUAAGC
rnacentral:misc_RNA from 1 species